AGUGCCGUUAGCUUUAGUGACGUUAGCUUCAGUGACAUUAGGCUUCAGUGACGUUAGCUUCAGUGACGUUAGCUUCAGUGACGUUAGUUUCAGUGACGUUAGCUUCAGUCAUUGAGAGCAAAAGUUACGUCACAUACGCUUUUGGGUUUGUGGUCUUUGUAAUUACGUAUUUUCACAGUCUUAUACCUCAACUUUUAAAUCUUUAUUGUAAAUCAGAGCACAAUUUAAACAGGAUCAAUAAAUUAGUUGUCUCUUGCCGUUGACUACCGUACAUAUUUUGUAAGGUCCCAUGGUGGUCCACUGAAAGGGGAGGGACUUAGGCUCUCUACUGUCACAAGGCCAAACACAAACUGAAAGUCUUAAAUGCUGGAGCAUCAAGAUUUCCCUUAACAAAGACCACACCAUGAAAAGACAGCCCCUUUUGUGUCAUUGGUUUACCUGAACCCAGUUCAGUUGACUCUAAGGAGAACAGACAGAGCGGCCGGACCUCACAACACAGAGAAGACUAAACGACUCCUCGCCGCCUGGCCCCACAGCGGACCUGCCAGCUAACAUCUAGCAUGGACUGGUAACGAACCUGGGCACCGCGCAGCGUCACAUAGCUCAGCUGCAACAUUAACAUGGCUAAGCACAGGACUGUGUAGCUUCUGCAAAUAAGAUUAUGUAACAGCACUUCUCAGCCACUGAUAAAUCGGUAACAGAUGCUAACUAACUUCUUUUAACUUGGCACCUUUACACAGAAAUACAGAUUCUAUUUGGCCUUAACCACCCUCUGUUUUACCACAUGUGCUCCUGCGCACUCACAUGGAAUAAAUAAAUAAUAAAUAACUGCUUUUGUAUAUACAUGCUGGUUUUAUCAAUCUCUUCCAUGUAGCACUAAUUAAUGGUUUAUUUUUGUAUAUUUAAAGAGAAUGAAUUAGCUAAUUAGCUCUCAAUUUCUCUUAUUUCAAGACAGGUACCUGAGGAUGAUGUAACUUGAAUUAUUAGCCUAAUUAUUGAAUAAUAGUAAUCGUAAUAAUUGUUACAUUAUUAAAUAUAAAUCUUGAUUAGCACCAUUUUCAUUCUAUUUUAUUGUUGUCUUUUAUGAUUUUAAUGUUCUUAUCUUCUGUGAAAGCACUGUUUUGAUAAGAGCUCUACAAAUAAAGUUUGUUAUUAUUACACUAAAUCGUCCUUGACGUGAAUGAGGUCAGCUACAGGAGAACGUUCUUUCCACAGCUGGAAGCAGCUACUGCCUUUAUUGUGUCACAGUCUGAGAAUCUAAAAAUAGAAAUGAUAAAAAUGAGUCAUGCUUUUAUCCAAAGCAACCUCCAAAAGUAAAAAGACAUUUAUUACACUUCCAGAGUAACUUGCCCAACACAGAUCCACGCUGCUGCUGGUGAACCCAAACAAACGCUGCAGAGAGACGGCCUGUGAACGCAGCCAACGCCAACCCCCCCUCACCACCACCGCCAUGAUGGCUUUAUGAAAGCAAACACUGCUGCUCAGGGUCAAGUGGUGCUUUUCUCCCUGCAGCGCUUUCCCAUGGACUCAACACCUCCCUCUGUCACACACUCACACAAUAACUGACGGGCUGUUUGACUGACGGGCCACACCAAACCAACCUGACUUCAAAGAACGAGCAACGGGCUGCACUUCAACGCAAUAUAAAGACAACGACCAGCAGCCUGCACGUUCUGAGCGGAGAUACCUGCUGUUAAGUACUUUGUACUGCAAAGAUCACAGAGAGACAAACACAUUAAACUGAGAACAGGUUUUGCUUUGCAGCUUUUGUUGGUGGAUGAAGUAAACACGUGAGAGGCAACACAACGCGACAACUCCUGCAGCACCUUCAGAUGGUCCACAGUCAUCUGCAGAAUCUCAGCCUUCUCCAGUUUAGCUGAACCCUGAUGAAAGAAACCAGACGUUACAGAAGGGUGCAGCUGAAAGAUGGAAAGCUCAGCAGCUCUUUAUUGUGUACAAACACAACAGCAGCUGGAUUCUCUGGUUAAUGCACCUUUAAUACAUCCAGACUGAAUAAAGCCGGUCAAAUAAAUGAAAUGUUAGAAUA